CUGCCGAGCUGCCGCCGAACCGGUUCAGAGACCAUUGCUGUUUCGGUUCAGCCGCUCUUUCUUUAGUUCGAGUUGUUGAGACUGUUGCGAAAGUGGCUUGGAGCCGAGGUUUUGACUGCCGGUGAUUUGGAGUUGAGGCGAAAAGAACUUAUGAGGCGUUUGGGUUAUGGAAUUGCCUUUUGAGGAUAUGGGCGCAGAAGUCACGAAGAGUUUAUUUAGUUGUUGUUGAGAUGCUCU